rnacentral:tRNA from 1 species
GGGGCCGUAGCUCAGCGGUAGAGCGGCCCACUUUCGCAAAAUGGGACGGCGGUCGGUUCAACUCCGGCCGGCCCCGCC